rnacentral:rRNA from 1 species
AGAGUUUGAUCCUGGCUCAGGAUGAACGCUGGCGGCGUGCCUAAUACAUGCAAGUCGAACGCGGGCACUUGUGCCCGAGUGGCGAACGGGUGAGUAAUACAUAAGUAACCUGGCCUUUACAGGGGGAUAACUGCUGGAAACGGCAGCUAAGACCGCAUAGGUAGGGACACUGCACGGUGACCGUAUUAAAAGUGCUGCAAGGCACUGGUAGAGGAUGGACUUAUGGCGCAUUAGCUGGUUGGUGAGGUAACGGCUCACCAAGGCGACGAUGCGUAGCCGACCUGAGAGGGUGACCGGCCACACUGGGACUGAGACACGGCCCAGACUCCUACGGGAGGCAGCAGUAGGGAAUUUUCGGCAAUGGGGGGAACCCUGACCGAGCAACGCCGCGUGAAGGAAGAAGGAAUUCGUUCUGUAAACUUCUGUUAUAAAGGAAGAAAGACGGAUGGAGGAAAUGACAUCCGAGUGACGGUACUUUAUGAGAAAGCCACGGCUAACUACGUGCCAGCAGCCGCGGUAAUACGUAGGUGGCAAGCGUUAUCCGGAAUUAUUGGGCGUAAAGAGGGAGCAGGCGGCAGCAAAGGUCUGUGGUGAAAGACUGAAGCUUAACUUCAGUAAGCCAUAGAAACCGGGCAGCUAGAGUGCAGGAGAGGAUCGUGGAAUUCCAUGUGUAGCGGUGAAAUGCGUAGAUAUAUGGAGGAACACCAGUGGCGAAGGCGACGAUCUGGCCUGCAACUGACGCUCAGUCCCGAAAGCGUGGGGAGCAAAUAGGAUUAGAUACCCUAGUAGUCCACGCCGUAAACGAUGAGUACUAAGUGUUGGAAGUCAAAUUUCAGUGCUGCAGUUAACGCAGUAAGUACUCCGCCUGAGUAGUACGUUCGCAAGAAUGAAACUCAAAGGAAUUGACGGGGGCCCGCACAAGCGGUGGAGCAUGUGGUUUAAUUCGAAGCAACGCGAAGAACCUUACCAGGUCUUGACAUACUCAUAAAGGAUCCAGAGAUGGAUAGAUAGUUAUAUGAGAUACAGGUGGUGCAUGGUUGUCGUCAGCUCGUGUCGUGAGAUGUUGGGUUAAGUCCCGCAACGAGCGCAACCCUUGUCGUUAGUUACCAUCAUUAAGUUGGGGACUCUAGCGAGACUGCCAGUGACAAGCUGGAGGAAGGCGGGGAUGACGUCAAAUCAUCAUGCCCCUUAUGACCUGGGCUACACACGUGCUACAAUGGAUGGUGCAGAGGGAAGCGAAGCCGCGAGGCGAAGCAAAACCCAUAAAACCAUUCUCAGUUCGGAUUGUAGUCUGCAACUCGACUACAUGAAGUUGGAAUCGCUAGUAAUCGCGAAUCAGCAUGUCGCGGUGAAUACGUUCUCGGGCCUUGCACUCACCGCCCGUCA